rnacentral:lncRNA from 1 species
ACGAAUUAGCGGAUCUGCUCUUUUAUGUUGUUUCAUCGUUCACACUAUUGAAAUUUAAAACUCAUAAUGGUACACAAGCUCAAAAUCAUUUUUCGGGUAGAAUCUGUGACUGCCGACAUAGAGUUGUCAAAACUAAAGGGAAAUCUUGGGCGUCUUCUUUUUUCUCUUUACCGUUCACAAAAAUCUCCAUUUCCAUGUCUUCGAACUUGAAAGACCUUUUACUUUAAAUAAAACUUGAGAGACCUUGUAAGUCAAUCUUUUUCAAUGCUUCCUGAUCAAAAACCAUUUCUCCGUGUGCAAAAGAAAAAUAACUUCUCCAGUUCAAGAUUCUUGAAAUUCCAUCGGAAUUCAGUGUUCAAUAACCAUAUCAUUCAUCUAUACAUUGCUCUGUUUGCUUCAACAAUCACCAGACAAGAACAGUCCCCUGUAUCUAUACAAGUCAACAACCUAACAAAUACGAUUGCAAUACUACCAAGCCAAACAGUCUACUAACAGGCUACCAGCUAUCUAGCAGCCCAGAUUCACAGCGCGAGCGUGAGGCCAUCAUGUCGCUCAGCGGCACCGGGCCGGCGGUACGGCGCGGCGCGCGCGGCGGCCCUCCCUUUCCGCUUCUCCAUGAACCGCUGCAGCGACGCCUUCCUCG